UACAGCCAUACCAGCCUGAACACACCUGAUCUCAUCUGAUCUCGGAAGCUAAGCAGGGUCGGGCCUGGUUAGUAGUUGAAUGGGAAAAGACAACACAGCCCAGGUCUUUCC
rnacentral:rRNA from 1 species